GCAUUGGUGGUUCGGGUAGAAUUCUUGCCUUCCAUGUGGGAGGCUUGGGUUCUAUUCCCAACCGAUGCC
rnacentral:tRNA from 1 species